rnacentral:rRNA from 1 species
UUCCACAGCGAAAGCGUUAAGUAAUCCACCUGGGGAGUACGCCGGCAACGGUGAAACUCAAAGGAAUUGACGGGGGCCCGCACAAGCGGAGGAACAUGUGGUUUAAUUCGAUGAUACGCGAGGAACCUUACCCGGGAUUGAAAUGUAGACGACGGAUGGUGAAAGCCGUCUUCCCUUCGGGGCGUCUAUGUAGGUGCUGCAUGGUUGUCGUCAGCUCGUGCCGUGAGGUGUCGGCUUAAGUGCCAUAACGAGCGCAACCCACAUCGGUA